AAGAAAUAAUAGGGUCAGGAUGCAGGCGGUCAUAGGAUGCAACAUUUUGCAGAAUGAUAGGAUGAAAUUAAAAAGUGAGAUGUUGCAAUGAUUCGGUAAAAGUGAAAGAAGCUUUGAGAGAGAUAAUGAGAGAUGAGGAAAUUAAGCUGUGAGAGAGAUAUAGCGGUAUAGAGUAUUAAAAAACGGUGGUAUGGGUUUGCCAAUUGCAAAAAGAAACAUAUGUG
rnacentral:lncRNA from 1 species